rnacentral:tRNA from 1 species
UAGUAGGUUGGCAGAACAGUGCCAUCGACUUAGGAUCGGUUCAUGGGUUAUUCCCACCUACUAUAUGCAUAU